GAUGAACGCUGGCGGCGUGCCUAAUACAUGCAAGUCGAGCGAACGGACGAGAAGCUUGCUCCUCUGCGGUUAGCGGGUGACGGGUGAGUAACACGUGGAUAACCUACUUCUAUUACUGGGAUAAUUUCGGGAAACCGGAGCUAAUACCGGCUAAUAUGUUGAACCGCAUGGUUCAAAAGUUAAAGACGGUUUUGCUGUUACUUAUAGACGGUUCCGCGCUGCAUUAGCUAGGUGGUAAGGUAACGGCUCACCAAGGCAACGAUGCGUAGCCGACCUGAGAGGGUGAUCAGCCACACUGGAACUGAGACACGGUCCAGACUCCUACGGGAGGCAGCAGUAGGGAAUCUUCCACAAAGGGCGAAAGCCUGACGGAGCCACGCCGCGUGAGUGAUGAAGGUCUUCGGAUCGUAAAACUCUGUUAUUAGGGAAGAACAUAUGUGUAAGUAACUGUGCACGUCUUGACGGUACCUAAUCAGAAAGCCACGGCUAACUACGUG
rnacentral:rRNA from 1 species